rnacentral:tRNA from 1 species
GGGGCUGUAGCUUAGUGGUAGAGCACUUGCCUAGCAUGUAUGAGGCACUGGGUUCAAUCCUUAGCACUA